GGCCUCCCAAUGCUUACCACAGGAUGUGUUUUUUACACUGACUGUAAAGAAAGAGGAGGUGCAGUAAAUGCAUUCCAUAUACAUCUCAACCCAGUCCCUUUGCCUGCUCCGUAUUGUUAAUGGGGGGACAAAA